AAAAAUAUAUAUUUUUUAAUUCUUUUUUCUGUAACUAUUAUUUUUUUUUACUUUUUUAUUUUAAAAACAUAAUAUAAUUUGAGAAUAUUUUGUUUCCUUUUUUAAAAGAUAUCGAAUUUAAAAUAAUGAAAUCCUAUUGGUUGGUGAACCUAGAGGUUCACCCUAGGGGGUGAACCCAAGAAUGACUCUAAAAACAAUGCAUGCUUUCAUGUUUAUGGUUACUUUAUGUAUUCAAAUUGUAGGUAGUUUUAGUUAAAAACACCAAUAUUAGAAAAAGUGUUUAUUUGUUAAAAAGUAGUAUUAUUUAAUAUAUAAUUUUAAUUAAUUAUAAAAAAUUUACAUUGAAAUGUUAAAACUAUUUAUAUUGUGAAACAAUUGUUUUGAUAAAACUACUUAUAUUAUAUUGGGUACUUAGUUGUAAACUUGUAAUCGAUUAUAUUUGAUAUAUAUAUAUAUAUAUAUGUAUAUAUAUAUAUAUAUGAUUAUUAUAAUUUUUUAGCUGUAUUUAAACUUAUAUUUUAGUUUAAUCUAACCUAAAAUAACAUAAAAAUUCAAAUACUUCAAAAAGUAAAUUACGCUGAAACAACAAUCAUCACAUUUUAAUUUAACAAAUAUUUUUUUUGCUUUAGUUCUUGAUCAAAUUAAUGAGCUAAACCUAUUGUUCUCUUAAUUUAAAAUAAUAAUUAAGUUGCAAAAAAAAAAAAAAUUAAAAUAAUAAUUAUGACUAAUCUUCCAUACAAAAUCAUGUCAAAUUGAAAAGCUGAAUAUUCUCUUUCUUUCUUGUUUUGCUAAUAAUUCUCAAAGGGACUAGGGUAGGUGGGUGAUCCAGAGAGCUUUUUAAUCAGUGUUCAUAAAAGAAUCCGCAGUUGUUCUUACCUUUAUUUACAAAUUAGAAUUGCAAAGAAAGACGAAACCUUUUUCGAGAGAAAACACAGCUAUCCAACUGUAACAUCGCACUCACCGAGUUUCCACUUCAUCUUUUUAGGAUAUUCAUUGCUUGCUCUCGAAGGAACUCUUGUACCACUUUAUUUAAUCUUAUUUAAUUUAUUCAUUUUAUAAAUUAAGAGAGUUUAUGUGCUGUUGUUAAAAAAAGGGGAGAGAGAGUUUAUGUGCUACAGGCUAUAUAGCUAACACUUAACCCUCAUUCUAAAAUUCAGACAAAAUGGAAAGUAUUAUAAAAAAAUUAUACUUGUAGUCAUAUAUUAAACAUUGUUAGUAUGAAAAGUUGUCACGAAAAUUUUAUUAAAAAAAAAGUUGUCACGAAAUUAAAACUAGUAACAGUUUAACCUUUUAAUUAUUGAAGCUAAGACGAAUGGAGUCUAUGGCUUCAAUUGGUGACUAUGGAAUAAAUGAAAUGAAUGAAAAAAAGUCUGAACAAAUUUUCAUUUAAUGAAUUGAAUUGGAAAAGAAAAGUUGAACAAAGAGGAAAAAUAUAACGAAGAGAAUUGAACGAAUAUUAAACAUGAAUGGUAGAUAAAAAAGAUGAACUUAUGUUUUCAUAUUUUAAUAGAUAUAAUAAGCAUUAAAGUACACGCACAAUGAGACCAUGAAGUUUUAAACUUCUUAUACAAUUUAACUUCCUAACCUAAGUAUGUCAAAACACCACACAAAUGAUCUAUAUUUAACAAGUGUCCUAGAAAAGUCAAUAAAUCAAUUUAACAAGUGUCCUAGAAAACUCAUACGAAUAUUAAAAACAGUAACGAGAUUGUUAUGGGUACAUGGUGGAGUUAAAUUGAUAUUGGGCAUGUUGCGCCUGUUUAAGAAUUAUCUUUAUUUUUUAUUUUAUUUUUUAUGUUUUUAAAACAUUUCCACUAGUUCCUCAUCAAAUUUAGAAGAGGAAAUAUUUUUUCAUGAGUUCCCAAAUAUAUGAGGAAAAUAAAGAAAAAUAGUGGGACCCAUGUAUUAACAGUUUGACAAAAAUUUCAACUGAAUUGGUAACAUUUUUAAGGAACAACCAAUUCAUCAUAUAUUUUUCCUAAAUACUAAUAAUAUUUAAAAUAAAUAAAUUAACGGUAAAUAAUAUUUUGGUAUUUUUUGAACUAAAAGUAUCCGGCAAGACUAAAAUGUUUUUGCCUCUAGAAUUAUAUAGUUUCUCCUUUCUCUCGUAUACUUCUUCUCCUUUUUUGAACUUUUUUCUGACAACUAUUCUAAAAAAAAACUUUUUUCUGACAUCAAAAUAAUUUUGAACUUAUUUCUUCUCUUUUCUCUCUUCAUUUUUAUAGAAGACAAUAUUAUUUUCAUCAGUAAAAAAAGUAUGUUCUGAAACUUACUGAGGCUUUAACAAUAAAUUUUAAGUUUUGAAAUUUAUUUAUAUAUACAUCGACCCUUUCGUUUCAUUAAGCUUUACUUGACGAUGACGACGGCAAAUAAUGUAAGAAAAUCUAAGGGGUAUAUUUAAUUGAGAAUUUGUGGUAAUUAUAUUAAACUGACAAAUUACUAUUAUUCAAAUAUGUAUUUUAAAAAUUCUUUUAAAAUUCUUUCUUUUUUUUUGAACCAUAGAAUUCAUUAAAAUCCAUUUUUAUUAAAUUUGAUAUUUCAUAAAAUACUUUAAAACUCAUUAUUUCUAAAAAUAUUUUAAGCAUAUUUUCAAAAUUUUUAAAUAAUUUCAGAGUAUUUGGAUAGAGUUUUUUCAGUUAAAAAAAUCAAAUGUUAUAGCUUUAGGUGAGAUUUUAGAGUGAUUUAACAAAAAAAAUCAUAUUAAUCUCUCUAAUUCAUAUAAAAUCAUCUACGGAAUUCAGACAAAAGCACUUGUAGGUUUUGUUUCCAGAAUUAUUCCCGCGGAACUAGUUCAUUGGAAAAUGCCCAAAAACUGUGAUCUAUCGGGAAUAAUUUAUGACUAUCAUAAGUCCGUCAAAAAUGAUUCCCAAUGACCAAGUGUCCAUCAAGAAUAAUUUCAGACGAUGUGAUCGGUCGGGAAUAAUUCCUAACAUUUUUUCGUCGAGAAAUUUCCUAACAACCAUUGUUUAGUCAGAAUUCUCGACGAAUUUUUGACAGAAUUUCAAUAAUAUAUUUUUAUUUCGUUAAAUCUAAUAUUUAAACUUAAAUAUUUUUAAAAUACAAUUAGUUAAAAUUUAUAAUUAAAAUAGCAGAGUUUGUAUUUGUAAUUGCUUAAAUGAGAACACAGACGAAAGAAACUGCCAAAAUAUUCAUCAGGUGGGUAUUUACUAGUGUGUUUUGUAAAAGAUGUCAAUCGGGCUGGUCUGGCUAGGCCAACACCUGCAAAACUUGUAAAUAUUUGAGUCUUGCUCGAUCCAAAUAUUUUUGCUAUACUCUAAAGUCCAACACGAUCCUAAUAGGGCUUUACGAACUAAUAUUAAUAACGUUAUAUAUACUUUUUCACCAUUUUAAAACAUAUACAUUAUAAAAAAAUCAGUUUCAUUUUUUUACAUGUAAGCAAGUUUAUACUUUUGUUAUUUUUUGUAUGAUGCAUUGGUUAUUAAGCCUUGUAGACAAACAAUUUUAAACAAUAGGGAUCCAAACAAUUUUAAACAAUAGGGAUCCAAAGUAAACAACACAUCUAUUUUGAAUAUACUAAAAGUCUUUCAUAUAAAAAGCUCAACUCUGUUUAUUUAAUAGUUAAAUCUUAAGAAAAAUAAUCUUAAUAGUAAUUAAAAAACGAUAAUGGUUGCCACUCUCUUUUUAUUGCUUUAGUAGGAGCCACCGAAAAAAGAAAUUCUUUAUGUUUAUCCGUUGAUAAUAUCAAAACCAAAUAAAUCACUGUUUCAAAAGUCGAUUAAUCAGAAUGUUUCAAACAGUCGAUUAACUAAAAUUUCAUAUUGUUUAUUCGGAAUAACCAUAGUAUAAGAAAACCAUAUCAUAGACAAACAAAUAUAACAAAAAAAAACUUAUACUAAACGCAGACAAGCGUUUUGCACUUUAUAAUUUUGAAAAUAAAACAUCUUUUACAUAAAGAAGAAUGAACAUGUGAUAAAUUUAGAAUGUGACUUUUGUGAUAAUCAAAAGGUAUAUUCACAGUUUUCAUAUUUUCUUUGUUAGAGUUCAGAUCAAGAAUAUUAAAACAAUAGGUUAAUAUCAAAAAUGGCUUUGGUCACAAAAAUGAUAUUAUCUAAACUAAGAUAUAUAGUUUUGGAUUUUCGAACCAGCAACAACCCAGAUGAGUCUAAGUCCAAAACAUCUAAAGCCCAAAACAUCUAUCCAAAAUAAAUUGAGUUUUUUGCAAAAUUGAUUCAAAACUCAAAGUCAACCACAAAACUAACCUAUAUUUUUUUAGAAAUGUUUUUUGCCCUAUUCACCCCACAAGUUCAUAUUAUUCACGAAAAUACAGUUAAUUUUUUUCGAAAAUGGUUUUUUUACUCUCUCAACCUCAUCAUCUUCAAGUAUUUACAAGAUUGCCAUUGCCAUCAAUACACCAACCACCAAGAACAACCAAUUUGAAGCUCUUAAUGCACCUCAAAUCUAUUUACACUCAUUCUUUCUCAAUUCUUAUGAAUUAAAAACAACAUCUCUUUCACUUUCUCUCCAUAUUCAUCCAAAAAUACCCAUUGAAGCUUACGAUUCUUGGUGGGUCACUUUUGUUUGAGAUUAUGCGUGCUUGGAGAAAACUUUUAUGUGCUAAACAAGUUAUCUCACUGGUUGAAACUAUGAAAUCAGUUUUUUUCCACAUCUGUUCGCCCAGACGACUUUCGGGUAAGUCUUCUGGCUGUAGACGACUUCCAAGGAAGUUUUCUGGUCAAUGUAGAUGUUAGUUUUGCAAUUGACUUUUAAAUGUGUUUUUAGAGACGAUUUCGUCCAUCUUUGUUUGUUAAAAAAAAAAUUAGAAACAACUUUCAUGUAAGUCGUCUAAGGUAAACAUGUUAGUUUUGCAUUUGACCGGAUUAUAUCAGAAAUUUGACUUUUCCUGGACGACUUACACAUAAAUCGUCUAGUAGAAAAUUAAAAAAUCAAUAUUUUGUUAUAUCUAGAGUUAGUUUUACAGUCAGACUUACACGAAAGUCAUCCAUGAUUUUAUUCUGAGAUUCUGGUCAAACCUUGUUUAUCUUGGACGACUUCCAUGUAAAUCGUCGGACGGGCUUACAAUAUCUCAGAAAACUCAUAAGACUUUCCUGCACAUCGUCUAGACGACUUAAAAUAUCUCAGAAGACUCAAAAGACUUAUAUUCGUAAAAAUGAAUUAUGUUUUUUUGUUUGGUCACAAGAAACUGACUGUAAUUUUACAAGUCUUUUAUAUUAGUUUUGCAUUUGAUUGAAGUUUGACUAUAAUUUUGCAUUUAAAAUCAAGUUUUGAGUCAUAUUUGGCAAAUUGUCAUUUACCCAAAAUACUAAUUUAUUUAUCUAUAUAAUUAAGCUCAAACUUGGUAAUUUUGUAGGGUUAGGCGAACUCGUACUACUUACGGCAACCUUAAUUGACAUGUCCACAUUCUGUGCAGGGGAUCCGCGUGAUAAAUGUCGAGAUUGACGGGGGAUCGUUAAGGAGAUUACACUUAAGAUGAUAGAGUCAGUGAGUGAGAAAAAAUGUAAGUUGGGGUUGAGAGGAUGGCUUUCAGAGACCUUCUUGGACGCAUUGUGGAGGAACAGUGGAACUGGUACGAGACCUGCUAGUACAUAUUCGUUAAGGGUCUGCUUUAGAAGCUCUAAUGAAAGAUAUCUCAAGACGCUGGUUCUGAGCUUGACUGCAAACACUUGUAUUAAAAUUUUGAAAAUGAAGAGCCUGUUAUGCACAGGAGAGGAAGUGAAGAAUGGUAUAAAUAGAUACAUGUUGUAAUUUGGUAGUCCAUGCUUGAUAUUUUCCAGUGUGGAAGAGACCACAUGUGACUUUCAUCUCCUAUUACUAUGAGAUCGCGAGUGGAACAAUAAAGGUGAAGAGAUAAAGGAGUUCAAAGUUACGAUCAUAACAAA